CCUACGGGUGGCAGCAGUGGGGAAUAGUGCACAAUGGGGGAAACCCUGAUGCAGCAACGCCGCGUGAGUGAAGAAGGUGUUCGGAGUGGAAAGCUCUGUUAGCAGGGAAGAGGAAGGACGGUACCUGCAGAGGAAGCCACGGCUAACUACGUGCCAGCAGCCGCGGUAAUACGUAGGUGGCAAGCGUUGUUCGGAAUAACUGGGCGUAAAGGAUGCGUAGGAGGUUAAACAAGUUAUAUGUUAAAUAUAUAGGCUUAACCUGUAGAAAGCAUAUAAAACGGUUUAACUAGAGUGCAGGAGAGGUCAGUGGACUUCCUCGUGUAGCGGUGAACUGCGUCGAGCUUAGGCAGAACCCCAGUGGCGUCGGCGACUUACUGGACUGUACCUGACGCUGAGGCAUGAGAGCCUGGGGCGCAAACAGGAUUAGCUACCCCUGUCGUC
rnacentral:rRNA from 1 species